rnacentral:rRNA from 1 species
AACGAACGCUGGCGGCAGGCUUAACACAUGCAAGUCGAGCGCGUGUAGCAAUACACGAGCGGCGCACGGGUGAGUAACGCGUGGAUAUCUGCCUUUUGGUUCGGAAUAACCCCGGGAAACUGGGGCUAAUACCGGAUGGUUCCUACGGGAUAAAGAUUUAUCGCCAAAAGAUGAGUCCGCGUCCGAUUAGCUAGUUGGUGAGGUAACGGCUCACCAAGGCGACGAUCGGUAGCUGGUCUGAGAGGACGAUCAGCCACACUGGGACUGAGACACGGCCCAGACUCCUACGGGAGGCAGCAGUGGGGAAUAUUGGACAAUGGGGGCAACCCUGAUCCAGCCAUGCCGCGUGAGUGAUGAAGGCCUUCGGGUUGUAAAGCUCUUUUGGCGGGGACGAUGAUGACGGUACCCGCA